UACGGGGGGGGCAAGCGUUGUCCGGAAUUACUGGGCGUAAAGGGUUAGUAGGUGGCCAACUAAGUCAGACGUGAAAUCCCUCAGCUUAACUGGGGAACUGCGUCUGAGACUGAUUGGCUCGAGGACAGGAGAGGAACGCGGAAUUCCAGGUGUAGCGGUGAAAUGCGUAGAUAUCUGGAGGAACACCGGUGGCGAAGGCGGCGUUCUGGACUGUUUCUGACACUGAAUAACGAAAGCCAGGGGAGCAAACGGG
rnacentral:rRNA from 1 species